UCUCCGUUGGUGAACCAGCGGAGGGAUCAUUACCAGAGUUUUACAACUCCCAACCCUUCUGUGAACCUACCUAUCGUUGCUUCGGCGGACCGCCCCGGCGCCUCCGCGCGCCGGACACGAGGCGCCCGCCGAGGGCCCCAAACUCCUGCUUCUUCCAGUGGAUUUCUGAGUGGCACAAGCUAAAUAAAUCAAAACUUUCAACAACGGAUCUCUUGGUUCUG
rnacentral:misc_RNA from 1 species